GCACCAGUGGUGUAUGGUACAUGCAGUCACCUUGUAAAUACUUCCUCUUUGUGAACAGUGACUGAGUCUGGGGUUUGAUUCCCCGCUGGCGCA